AGCGGAGGAAAAGAAACCAACAGGGAUUGCCCUAGUAACGGCGAGUGAAGCGGCAACAGCUCAAAUUUGAAAUCUGGCCUCGGCCCGAGUUGUAAUUUGCAGAGGAUGCUUCUGGCGCGGUGCCUUCCGAGUUCCCUGGAACGGGACGCCACAGAGGGUGAGAGCCCCGUAUGGUCGGACACCAAGCCUGUGUGAAGCUCCUUCGACGAGUCGAGUAGUUUGGGAAUGCUGCUCUAAAUGGGAGGUAAAUCUCUUCUAAAGCUAAAUACCGGCCAGAGACCGAUAGCGCACAAGUAGAGUGAUCGAAAGAUGAAAAGCACCUUGAAAAGGGGGUUAAAUAGUACGUGAAAUUGUUGAAAGGGAAGCACUUGUGACCAGACUUGGGCCGGGCGGCUCAUCAGGGGUUCUCCCCUGUGCACUCCGCCCGGCACAGGCCAGCAUCGGUUUUCGCGGGGGGACAAGACCGCCGGGAACGUAGCACCCUCCGGGGUGUGUUAUAGCCCGGCGGACGAUACCCCCGCGGGGACCGAGGUCCGCGCUCCGCAAGGAUGCUGGCGUAAUGGUCACCAGUGACCCGUCUUGAAACACGGACCAAGGAGUCGUCCAUUAGAGCGAGCGUUUGGGUGUAAAACCCGCACGCGUAAUGAAAGUGAACGCAGGUGAGAGCUUCGGCGCAUCAUCGACCGAUCCUGAUGUUCUCGGAAGGAUUUGAGUAAGAGUUUUAACGGACGGACCCGAAAGACAGUGAACUAUGCUUGUAUAGGGUGAAGCCAGAGGAAACUCUGGUGGAGGCUCGCAGCGGUUCUGACGUGCAAAUCGAUCGUCAAAUAUGAGCAUGGGGGCGAAAGACUAAUCGAACUGUCUAGUAGCUGGUUACCGCCGAA
rnacentral:rRNA from 1 species